rnacentral:lncRNA from 1 species
UAUAGUGGCACGCCAUUUAUGUUAGGGAAAUUAUUUAGAUUCAAAACCAAUCUGCCGACAUGCAAAUUCUUUGUACGUAACAAAUAAUGAUGAUGUUUCAUUGAACCAUCUCAAAAUAAGAACUCCAAUAAGCUUCUCUCCUUCACUAGCUAGUGAACCCAUAUACAUAAAUCAACAGAAGAUGUACUCCAAAUUCGAUCGAGAAUGACCUGGGCGCGAAAGGGGAGGGGAUGGAACACCGUACCAAGGAGACUAUAUGGACGUGAAACAUCACAGAUCGGCAUGGAAACUGACCCACAAUUAUCCACUGCCCCAAGUGGCAGCGAUGGUUUGCUGCUCAUCCGACGGCUCCAUGGUGUGGCCCCACCAUGCGACGCGAGACCGUCUUGCCCAAGUCAUACGACCAACUACGUCUCCAGGGCGGCAAGGCGAGAAGGGCUGCUAUUAUAAUCGAUAGAUAAAAUCUUCUCCAUACAGAACAAAAACCAAAUAAACAAUCUAUUGAACUGUUUAAAUAGGUAUCAUGAAAUAAAGGGUGAUCGAACCUCAAAAUUAAAUCCAUGAAAGCUUCAUGGUACAUAACACCGAUUACAGAGAUCUCACCAUAGGGGAGCGGGGAGACGAAAACUAAAAACUUCGCACCCCAGACCGCAUUGAAAAUAGACCUCUUUUUUAGCUAACCAUCAUAAAUAACCUUCCAUGACAAUUAUCUACAUGUGCAUAAUCUAAUACUUAUCUUGUAAAUAUUGAUCGGAAGAUAUAUUGGACAUACAACUAAGAAAUUUAAUUAUGAAUAGAAGGAUAGCAAUUAGUAGCAAUAAUUUCUCAAAAUUUCAAAGAAACAUCUAAUUUGUAAAUUCAUAUCUUAUCUUACGUGCUAGAUUAAUUAGCCUCCUACAUCGUAAUCCAUAAGAAGUUCUAGCAGUAGGGAGAGUAUAUGUUGGUGUACCUUUGAAACUGAACCGCACAUGCUUUGACGGACUAUAUGAUGAGGCUCCAUCGCUGAAUCAACAGAGCUGCUAACACCACCAUCGAAGCACCUACCCCCAUAGUGAUCGGAGUAGUUUGCUAGCUGUCGGCCGCCGUUAAACUGGAGCAACGCCCUGCCUUUGGCGAGCGGGGCUGCGAGCGCCUCAAUGUCCUACGG